GCCACCCAUUCCUCUCUAUUCGAGUAGGCCAUUCUUCCCUAUUCGAGUAGGCCAUUCUUCCCUAUUCGGGUAGGCUAUUCUUCCCUAUUCCUAGCGCAGUUUAAAAAGAUGGCAGACUUUCGUAAACUGGAAAACAUCCUCUCCCACCUACUCUUUCUAGGUCAGAGGCUUUCCUAUGUGGUUACGGAUAUUUUCCCUUUUACACAGACCUACGUUUUGUGCUACACGCCUUUUAACACUGUCUUUGAGUAUCUCUCAGCAUUCAUUCAACAAAGGUCAAAUGUUACACAAUGAGCCAGAGAGCACCCCACUCUCCCAGACAGACAGUGGGCAGGGUUCCCCUGCUGGUAAUCCGUCAGACCCUCGGACACUUCCAGAAGGGGGAACUCCUCCAGUAACGAAAUCUCUUCACAUGGACCUGAAGACUGCCUAAAAAGAGGAACCUGCCCGAGCAACCUUAGCCCCCUCCUGUGCACGUCCCUGCGUGCGUGUGUGUGUCUGUGUGUGUGUCUGUGUGUGUGUGUGUGCGUGUGUAUGUGUGCGUGCGUGUGUGUUUGAACAAGCCUGGAUUCAAAUCAAUCUAUAUUUAUACUUUUUUGUCAAAUGUUUUGAAAGUUGCUAUGGACAAAAGGGGUUGCCAAGUGCUUUAAACUUAUGAAGUCUUCAUAUUACUUAAAGCAGACCGCUGAGGGUUUGCAUCAUUAAUAGCCCAGUGAAGUAUCAGUCAUGGGGAAAGAAGCAAUACGGAAAAUACCACUGUUUUUUGUUGAUACUGUUGUUGUACAAGUUGUGAAAUAUACAUUUGUGUUUUUCGCAGGAUUGUCUGCGUCUGAGACUAUAAACCCUCUUUCUGCACUUGCAGAGCAGACCACUGUUGGCAUGUAUCACCUGACAGAUAAACUGAUAGGCAUGUCCAUUCAUCUGCUGUCCACAGGUCUUCUUGCUCUGCUAUUGUGCCUUUCCACCAAGGGUUUCCCAAGACAAGUCAAUGGCAUUGAGUUCUACAGCGACCUAGAGAGGUCGCACCUCCUGCUGAAGGAAAGCAACUCUCAGACCAGUUUUGACUCCAAGGCCAAUGCUCAAGCUGAUAAUGGCCUGUUUGAAGAGGAUCCCGAAUUCAUGUCGGUUAUUCCAAAGGGCAAUUCUGGCACCAAACAUGGAUUGCCUGCACCUCCCAAGGAGGUAUCUGUCAAGAACAAGACUGAAGCUUUAAGAGGGCCUGCACUGAAACGAGCCAGACGGGAUAUUAUUGCAACCACCACAAAAGCUCCCACCACUACCACAACAGCACCCACAACAGCUACAGAAGCUACCACAACAGCUGCUGCAACCACAACAACAGAGCCAGCAACCACAACAACAGUGGCUGAAAAUACCACAACAGCUACAAAUACCAGCUCCCAGCAACAAAUACCAGCUCCCACCACUAACACAACAGCACACAUAACAGCUCCAGAAACUACCAAAACAGCUGCUACAACCACCACAGCAGCUCCAGCAACUACCACAACAGCUGCUGCAACCACCACAACAGCACCCACAACAGCUCCAGAAACUACCACAACAGCUGCUACAACAACCACAGCAGCUCCAGCAACUACCACAACAGCUGCUGCAACCACCACAACAGCACCCAUAACAGCUGCAGCAAUUAUCACAACAGCUCCCACCACUACCACAUUAGCGCCAACAACAGCUCCAGAAACUACCACAACAGCUGCUGCAACCACCACAAAAGCUCCAGCAACUACCACAACAGCUAAUGCAACCACCACAACAACUGCUGGAACCACAAUAACAGCUCCAGCAACCCCCAAAGCAGGUGCCACCACUACCACAACAGCACCCACAACAGCUCCAGAAACAACAGAUGCUGAAACCAUCAAAACAGCUCCAGCAACAACAACAACAGCUCCAGCAACCACCACAACAGCGGCUUCAACUACCACAAUAGCUAUUGCAAGUACCACAACAGCUGCAGCAACUACCACAACAACUCCCACCAAUACCACAACAGCACCCACAACAUCUCCAGAAACUACCAAAACAGCUGCUGCAACCACCACUACAGCUGCUGCAACUACAACAACGGAACCCACAACAGAACGCACAACAUCUGCCACCACUACCACAAAGGCCCCCACAAGAGCUGCUGCAACUUCCACAACAGGUUCCCAAACCACCACAACAGAUGCUGCUGCAACCACCACAACAGCACCCAUAACAGCUGCAGCAAUUACCUCAACAGCUACCACCACUACCACAACAGCACCCACAACAGCUCCAGAAACUACCACAACAGCUGCUGCAACCACCACAACAGCUCCAGCAACUACCAAAACAGUUGCUGCAACCACCACAACAGCUCCAGCAUCUACCACAACAGCUCCCACAACAGCUCCCACCAUUACCACAACAGCUACCACAACAUCUGCUGCAACCACCACAACAGCGGCUGCAACUACCACAACAGCUGCUGCAACCACCACAAUAGCUAUUGCAAGUACCACAACCGCUGCAGCAACUACCACAACUGCUCCUGCGAAUACAACAAUGGAAACCACAACAGAAUCCACAACAUCUGCCACCACUACCACAAAGGCCCCCACUACAGCUGGUGAAAGUUCCACAUCAGCACCCACAACAGGUUCCCAAACCACCACAACAGAUGCUGCUGCAACCACCACAACAGUUCCUGCAACUACAACAAUGGAAACCACAACAUCUGCCGCCACUACCACAAAGGCCCCAACAACAGCUGCUGCAACUUCCACAACAGCACCCACAACAGGUUCCCAAACAACCACAACAGAUGCUGCUGCAACCACCACAACAGCACCCAUAACAGCUGCAGCAAUUACCACAACAGCUCCCCCCACUACCACAACAGCUGCUACAACUACCACAACAGCUGCAGAACCUUCCACAACAGCACCCACAACAGCUCCAGAAACUACCACAACAGCUGCUGCAACUACCACAACAGCUGUUCCAACUACCACAACAGCUGCUGAAACCACAACAACAGCUCCAGCAACCACCACAACAGCUGCUGCAACUACCACAAUAGCUAUUGCAAGUACCACAAUAGCUAUUGCAAGUACCACAACAGCUGCAGCAACUACCACAACAGCUCCUGCAACUAAAACAACAGAAGCCACAACAGAACCCACAACAUCUGCCACCACUACCACAAAGGCCCCCAAUACAGCUGCUGCAACUUCCACAACAGCUCCCACAACAGGUUCCCAAACCACCACAACAGAUGCUGCUGCGACCACCACAACAGCACCCAUAACAGCUGCAGCAAUUACCACAACAGCUGCUGCAACCAUCACAACAGCCCCCAUAACAGCUGCAGCAAUUACCACAACAGCUACCACCACUACCACAACAGCACCCACAACAAAUCCAGAAACUACCACAACAACUCCAGCAACCACCACUACAGCUCCAGCAUCUACCACAACAUCUCCCACAACAGCUCCCACCAAUACCACAACAGCUGCUGCAACCACCUCAACAGCACCCACAACAGGUUCCCAAACCACCACAACAGAAGCUGCCCCAACCACCACAGCAGCACCCAUAACAGCUGCUGCAAGCACCACAACAGCUCCAACAUCUACCACAACAGCUCCCACCACUACCACAACAGCAACCACAACAGCUGCUGCAACCACCACAACAGCUCCAGAAACUACCACAACAGCUGCUGCAACCACCACAACAGCUGCUGCAACUACCACAACAGGUCCCACCACUACCACAACAGCACCCACAACAGCUCCAGAAACUAACACAACAACUGCUGCAACUACCACAAAAGCUACUCCAACUACCACAACAGCUGCUGCAACCACAACAACAGCUCCAGCAACCACCACAACAGCUGCUGUAACUACCACAAUAGCUAUUGCAAGUACCACAAGAGCUCCCACAACAGCUGCUGCAACCACCACAACAGCCCCCAUUACAGCUACAGCAAUUACCACAACAACUACCACCACUACCACAACAGCACCCACAACAGCUCCAGAAACUACCACAACAGCUGCUGCAACCACCACAACAGCUGCUUCAACUACCACUUCAGCUGCAGCAACUACCACAACAGCCACUGCAACCACCACAACAGCACCCACAGCAGCUCCCACCACUACCACAACAGCUGCUGCAACUACAACAACGGAAGCCACAACAGAACCCACAACAUCUGCCACCACUACCACAAAGGCCCCUACAACAGCUGCUGCAACCACCACAACAGCCCCCAUUACAGCUGCAGCAAUUACCACAACAACUACCACCACUACCACAACAGCACCCACAACAGCUUCAGCAACUACCACAACAGCUCCUGCAACUACAACAACGGAAGCCACAACAGAACCCACAACAUCUGCCACCACUACCACAAAGGCCCCUACAACAGCUAUUGCAAGCACCACAACAGCCCCCUUUACAGCUGCAGCAAUUACCACAACAACUACCACCACUACCACAACAGCACCCACAACAGCUUCAGAAACUACCAAAACAGCUGCUGCAACUACCACAACAGCUCCAGCAACCACCACAACAGCUGCUGCAACUACCACAAGAGCUACUAAAACCACCACAAAAGCUGCUUCAACUACCACAACAGCUGCAGCAACUACUAAAACAGCUGCUGCAAAAACCACAACAGCACCCACAGCAGCUCGCACCACCACCACAACAGCUGCUGCAACUAAAACAACGGCAGCCACAACAGAACCCACAACAUCUGCCACCACUACCACAAAGGCCCCCACAACAGCUGCUGCAACCACCACAACAGCCCCCAUAACAACUUCAGCAAUUACCACAACAGCUACCACUACUACCACAACAGCUCACGCAUCUACCACAACAGCUCUCACAACAGCUCCCACCACUACCACAACAGCUCCACAAACUUACACAACAGCGGCUGCAACCAACACAAUAGCUAUUGCAAGUACCACAACAGCUUUAGCAACUACCACAACAGAACCCACAACAUCUGCCACCACUACCAUAAAGGCCCCCACAACAGCUGCUGCAACCACCACAACAGCCCCCUUUACAACUGCAGCAAUUACCACAACGACUACCACCACUACCACAACAGCACCAACAACAGCUCCAGAAACUACCACAACAGCUGCUGCAACCACCACAACAGCUCCCGCAACUACCACAACAGCUCCAGAAACAACCAAAACAGCUGCUACAACCACCACAACAGCACCAGUAACUACCACAACAGCUGCUUCAACCACCAAAACAGCUCCAGCAACCACCACAACAGCUGCUGCAACUACCACAACCGCUCCAGUAGCCACUACAACAGCUGCUGCAACUACCACAAGAGCUACUGCAACCACCACAACAGCUGCUUCAACUACCACAACAGCUGCAGCAACUACCACAACAGCUGCUGCAACCACCACAACAGCACCCACAGCAGCUCCCACCACUACCACAACAGCUGCUGCAACUACAACAAUGGCAGCCACAACAGAACCCACAUCUGCCACCACUACCACAAAGGGCCCCACAACAGCUGCUACAACUACCACAACAGCUGCGGCAACUACCACAACAGCCCCCACAACCACCACGACCAACACAACAGCCCCCACAACAGCACCCACCACGACCACCACAACAGCCCCCACAACAACCACCACGACCACCACAACAGCCCCCACAACAACAACGAAUGGCACAGGUGAGUCAAUGACACUGCUAUCUAGCGACUUUUUCUCAGUGACAGCUAUCUACUUCUCUCCUUAGUAAAGGCUAUUCACAUAUUAUUGGAGACUACUUGGUGACUUCUAUCUAGAUGACAGCAGUUCUCCUAAGUGAAACAACACUAACUUGCAGUCAAAGAAAGGGUGCAGUGUGUGAACCAAAUCUUCAACUUAUGC
rnacentral:lncRNA from 1 species